GCUCAAGCUGUGAGUCACGCUCUGGCCUCUGCCUCUGUGGACCCUGACUGCUUGGUCUUCACCCAGACUCUGGAGAGGAGGCAAGGUGCUGUCUUGGAGAAUAAGUCCCCUACAUUCGAACCCUCAAGUUGUGAACUUUCAAAGAUGCAAACGUGCAUGCCAGCCCCUGUAUACACAAGUGUUGUAUUGGACUACUGUACUCUUCAAGUUCCCCAAGGAGACUGUAAUCUCUGAGGUAUGGGAGAUCAGGUACCAUCAAUUGUGGUUUCCCCAAGGAAUCUGCCUCUUUGUGAAAGCCGAACAAUCAUCUUCAAGACUUGCAAAAAGCUGCAGUGAACUUUCUUGAAACUAGGUAUAUAACUCAGUGAUGCAAAGACUCAUAGCUUAAUAUAUUUCUUUCUUAGCAACAAUUCUUACUACUAAUAAGUGGAUUGGGUAAGGGCAAUUGUGUUACUGUGAGGGCAAUUUGUGUUACAGUGGAGAGAAAGAAUUGGUUAAGUGUUUUAUUAUGCUCUGUGGUUUGUUUGUUUGUUUUUUUUUUUAAUAAAUAAAGUGUCUUGC